rnacentral:rRNA from 1 species
CCUACGGGGGGCAGCAGUGGGGAAUAUUGGGCAAUGGACGCAAGUCUGACCCAGCAACGCCGCGUGAGUGAAGAAGUAUUUCGGUAUGUAAAGCUCUAUCAGCAGGGAAGAAAAUGACAGUACCUGACCAAGAAGCCCCGGCUAACUACGUGCCAGCAGCCCCGGUAAUACGUAGGGGGCAAGCGUUAUCCGGAUUUACUGGGUGUAAAGGGAGCGUAGACGGUUAUGUAAGUCUGGAGUGAAAGCCCGGGGCCCAACCCCGGGACUGCUUUGGAAACUGUGUAACUGGAGUACAGGAGGGGCAGGCGGAAUUCCUGGUGUAGCGGUGAAAUGCGUAGAUAUCAGGAGGAACACCGGCGGCGAAGGCGGCCUGCUGGACUGCAACUGACGUUGAGGCUCGAAAGCGUGGGGAGCAAACAGGAUUAGAUACCCUAGUAGUC